rnacentral:rRNA from 1 species
AAAGCGUGCGCAGGCGGUUCGGAAAGAAGGAUGUGAAAUCCCAGGGCUUAACCUUGGAACUGCAUUCUUAACUACCGGGCUAGAGUAUGUCAGAGGGAGGUGGAAUUCCGCGUGUAGCAGUGAAAUGCGUAGAUAUGCGGAGGAACACCGAUGGCGAAGGCAGCCUCCUGGGAUAAUACUGACGCUCAUGCACGAAAGCGUGGGGAGCAAACAGGAUUAGAUACCCUAGU